rnacentral:lncRNA from 1 species
GUGAGCGCGGAGAGAAGCGGGAAAAGCCCGGGGAUGGGAGAACGAACGCGCCGAGAAAUCGAGGCGUCCCCGCCCGCCCGCACACCCGCUCCCCUCCCGCCGGGAGAAUCUGCGUGGCAGGCUGCAAGCUGAAAAUGCCACCCUGACAGACCCCCGCCCGCCCCGCGUCCAUUCUCCCUCCUACCCCAGCGUCCAGCGUCCCGGCCUCGUGGCAGCGCCCGGUCCCCGGGAGCCGCGCGGGGCUCCCCGCCGCCGCCGCGGGGACUCCGGUCUUCCUCUCUCCUCCCUCCCUCCUCCUCCUCGUCCUCCGCCUCCUCCUCGCAGACUCCUCCCGCCGGAUCCUUCAUGUAAACAACAGCCAGGCUCUAUUUACAGUCGCCGCCGGACGGCGAGGGACCCACGCCAGCACCCCGGCAGGAGGCGGGGGUGGGGGAAAAGCGAGUGCGCAACAUUUACACACCCGCCCCGCCCCUCCACGCCGCUGCCCCUCCGGGGGGCCGAGCGGGCCGCCGGGGGCUGCCCGCGCCUCGUGCGACCCGCGCCCCUCCGGACAGCCCGGCACGGCCCAGGGGCGAGGCCGCCCCCUCCCCGCGCGGGCGACAACGCACAGCCGACACCAGCGCCCGGCCCAGCCCCGCGCCCCAAGUCCCGUGUUCACGGUGGCUGAAGAGACAGUGUGUUUGGGAGCUCUGCCACGUUUUUCGACUCCGAAAGGUUGGUGAAGUGUCAGCUGUGAUUUCACCCCGCUCAACCUGGAAUCUCAUUAUCCGAGGCAGCGUUCUUAAUGAGACUGGUUUGUCCUGGAGCCUAUGAACUGGGUGAGGAGGCUGGCAGUCGAGCAGGCUGAAGAGGCUGCUGAAAAGAUGUCAGCAUCUGGACAAGAAGUGCACAUUUGCAACUUUAAAAGGCUGGAGAGUAACUGAUGCAUGCAAUUAUAUUUAUGGCUCGGAGGAGGGUCUGGGUUGUCACAGAUGAGCUCAUACACAUCCGGAAUGUUGAACUUCCCUUGCAUAGCUCAACACAAAAUGCCCAUGUUCCUUUGGAUUGGGCAGUCGAAGCUGGGAUUACUGACAGUAACAUCUACAGCCCAUGUUUUGUCCUAGGCAAUAACAGUGUGGUAGUAAUUUUAAGUGUAACCAUAUCACCUUCCAGCAAGGUGGAGACGAAGUCUACUUAUAUGUAAAGUCAUGUGCUCCCUUAAGUAAAAAGCUGAGCAGAGAAAAAAGGAACAGCACUCAAACCACCCCCCCGCCCCCAAGGAAUUGCCUCCAUAGCUCUUGUCUUCUACACAUGUGCACUCAGACGUCAUUACAGAGAAGAUCAAACUUGAGUGGUCUGGGGUGCUCCAUCGCUGUUGAUUAAAGAGAGUUCUUCUGGGCACUCCAGCAAUCUUCCAUCUCUCCCGUACACAUUUGAAAAAUGGCAGUUCCUGGUGUGUGAGAGCAUAGCCUUUGGAAUUAGGUCCUAAUCUCAGCUCUGCCAGACUAUUAGCUGUAUCAUCCUGGACAGGUUACUCAUCAGCUCUGAUUCUCAGUUACUUUACUCAUAAAAGGAGCAUAAGAACACCUAGCUCAAAGAGGAGUUUUUAGGAUUGAAAUUUAAUCAAAAUUUAAUAAAAUAUAUGUAAAGCCCCUAGCACGAUACUGGGAGCUUAAUCUUCAAAAACAAGCAGCUGUAACAAUUUUUUAAUUGUAUUUUUGUUUACCCCAUACACUUCAUAGAAUUAUUCUUUUCCUUUUGGCUUCCUGCUCUUGAAAAUUCAACGAACCUACUAUUAGUGAAAGUUCUGUGAUUACGAAGAUAAGCGAGAAUAGGUCCUGCCCUCAGGAAGUUCACCCUUCAGCCUUGGAGAAAUACCUAUAGAAGCAACUGUGCUGAUGCUGGCGGGCUGAAGGCAAGCGCCUGGGCCCUCACACUUUGUGAUGACCUGCCCUAGAAGUAUUUAACUAAGAUGUAGAUUUAUUAAUACUCAGGCAAUGGCAAAGCUUAUGGAAGCAGUUAGGAAAAUGGCCUCCCCUGAGCAAGCAAACAAAAUCUCACAUUUUCACAAAAAUGAG